AAUAAGAGUAUUUGGUAGAUGCCUUGCUGUUAGGAGGCGAUGAAAGACGUAAUAGACUGCGAUAAGUCUCGGGGAGCUGUCAAUAAGCAUUAUAUCCGAGAAUUUCUGAAUGGGGAAACCCACCUGUAAAGGUAAUUAUUUGUGAAUACAUAGCAAAUAAUGGCGAACUUGGUGAACUGAAAUAUCUAAGUAACCAAAGGAAAAGAAAUCAAUUGAGAUUCCCAAAGUAAGUGACGAGCGAAAUGGGAAAAGGGCAAUGCUGUUUGUGUAAGAAUCAGAACAAUCUGGGAAGGUUGACCAUAGUGGGUGAUAGUCCUGUAUGAGUAGAAAGCACAAAUAGAUUAGAGUAAAACGGAGCACGUGAAACUUUGUUUGAAUAUGGGGGGACCAUCCUCCAACCCUAAAUACUACCUAACAAGCGAUAGUGAACUAGUACCGUGAGGGAAAGGCGAAAAGAACCUUGAUAAAAGGAGUGAAAUAGAACCUGAAACCGAAUACUUACAAGCAGUCAGAGCAGAUUUAUUCUGUGAUGGCGUACCUUUUGCAUAAUGGGUCAGCGAGUUAAUAUAUAAUGCAAGCUUAAGUCGAUAGAUGUAGGCGUAGCGAAAGCAAGUUUGAAUAGAGCGAUUUAGUAUUAUGUAUUACGACACGAAACCCGGUGAUCUAAAUAUGGCCAGGUUGAAGGUAGAGUAACAUCUACUGGAGGACCGAACUUGUUACUGUUGAAAUAGUAUAGGAUGAGCUGUGUUUAGGGGUGAAAGACUAAUCAAACCGGGAGAUAGCUUGUUCUCUGCGAAAUCUAUUUAGGUAGAGCGCUAUGUCAUUUAUUAUUGGGGGUAAAGCACUAAAUAGGCUAGAGGGUCCAAAAGACUUAUCAACCCUAAUUAAACUCUGAAUACCAAUAAAUAUUAUCAUAGUAGGCAGUCCAUGUGCGCUAAGGUGCAUGGUCGAGAGGGAAACAGCCCAGAUCGUCGUCUAAGGUCCCAAAAUUAUUAUUAAGUGGGGAAGGAAGUGGAAAAACCAAAACAGCUAGGAGGUUGACUUAGAAGCAGCCAUCCUUUAAAGAAAGCGUAAUAGCUCACUAGUCUAAUUAAGUUUUUCUGCACCGAAAAUGUAACGGGGCUAAAAUAAUAUACCGAAGACACGGGAUUGUAUUGUAAUGAUACAAUCGGUAGCAGAGCAUUCCAUAAGUCAGUGAAGCAGUUUUGUGAGAAACUGUGGAGAUAUUGGAAGAGAGAAUGCUGACACGAGUAACGAUAAUUAAUGUGAGAAACAUUAACACCGUAAACCCAAGGAUUUCUAUGUAAAGCUAAUCUGCAUAGAGUUAGUCGGCUCCUAAGACGAGGCAGAAAUGCGUAGUCGAUGGAAAUCAGGUUAAUAUUCCUGAACCAGUGGAUGAGUGACGGAUUUUGAUUGUUGUAUUUGAUUAUUGGAUUUCAAAUGCUGCAAGAUAGAUUCUAGAAAAUAGCCUCCACAUAGGCCGUACCAAAACCGACACAGGUGGGUGAGUUGAGUAUACUAAGGUGUUUGAGAGAACUAUCUUGAAGGAACUAGGCAAAUUACAUCCGUAACUUCGGGAAAAGGAUGACUUGAAUUAGGCAACUAAUAAAAAGUGGCACAGAAAUGGGAGUGGCGACUGUUUAUCAAAAACACAGGGCUAUGCAAAAUCAUUAAGAUGAAGUAUAUAGUCUGACGCCUGCCCGGUGCUGGAAGGUUAAUUGAAGGUGUGCAAGCACCCGAUCGAAGCCCCAGUAAACGGCGGCGAUAACUAUGAUCGUCCUAAGGUAGCGAAAUUCCUUGUCGGGCAAGUUCCGACGCGCACGAAUGGCGUAACGAUCUCUCCACUGUCUCCAAGAUAGACUCAGUGAAACUGGAUUCUACGUGUAAUACGUUGUACCUGCGGGUAGACGGAAAGACCCUAUGCACCUUAACUAUAUCUUUACACUGAGUUUAGGAACCACUUACGUAGCUUAAGUGGGAGACUUUGAAGCUGGACUUUUGGGUUCAGUGGAGUCAACAGUGAAAUACCACUUUUGUGGUUCUUGAAUUCUAACUAUAUGCCAUUAUCUGGCAUUAGGACAAUGUAUGGUGGGUAGUUUGACUGGGGCAGUCGCCUCCAAAAGAGUAACGGGGGCGUGCAAUGGUUAGCUCAGACUGGAUGGAAACCAGUUUAUAAGAGUAUAAUAGCAAAAGCUAGCUUGACUGCGAGGCUGACAAGCCGAGCAGAGAAGAAAUUCGGUUAUAGUGACCCGGUGGUUCUGAAUGGAAGGGCCAUCGAUCAACGAAUACAAGGUACGCUAGGGAUAACAGGCUUAUAGUGUCCGAGCGCUCAUAGCGACGACACUGUCUGGCACCUCGAUGUCGACUCAUCAUAUCCUGGGGCUGAAGAAGGUCCCAAGGGUUCGGCUGUUCGCCGAUUAAAAUGGUACGUGAGUUGGGUUCAAAACGUUGUGAGACAGUUUGGUCCCUAUCUUCCGCAGGCGUUGUAAAAUUGAAUGGAGCUGCCCUUAGUACGAGAGGACCGGGGUGGACAUGCCAAUGGUGUAUCAGUUGUUCUGCCAAGAGCAUCGCUGAGUAGCUACGCAUGGAAUAGAUAAUCGCUGAAAGCAUCUAAGUGAGAAGCUAGCCAUAAGAUGAAUUUUACCAAUAGAGUCGUGGUAGACUACCACGUUGAUAGGUCAGGUGUGUAAGGGCAGUGAUGCCUUAAGCUAACUGAUACUAAUAACUCAAUCGGCUUUU
rnacentral:rRNA from 1 species